rnacentral:rRNA from 1 species
GACGAACGCUGGCGGCGUGCUUAACACAUGCAAGUCGAACGGAAAGGCCCUGCUUUUGUGGGGUGCUCGAGUGGCGAACGGGUGAGUAACACGUGAGUAACCUGCCCUUGACUUUGGGAUAACUUCAGGAAACUGGGGCUAAUACCGGAUAGGAGCUCCUGCUGCAUGGUGGGGGUUGGAAAGUUUCGGCGGUUGGGGAUGGACUCGCGGCUUAUCAGCUUGUUGGUGGGGUAGUGGCUUACCAAGGCUUUGACGGGCAGCCGGCCUGAGAGGGUGACCGGCCACAUUGGGACUGAGAUACGGCCCAGACUCCUACGGGAGGCAGCAGUGGGGAAUAUUGCACAAUGGGCGGAAGCCUGAUGCAGCAACGCCGCGUGCGGGAUGACGGCCUUCGGGUUGUAACCGCUUUCGCCUGUGACGAAGCGUGAGUGACGGUAAUGGGUAAAGAAGCACCGGCUAACUACGUG